GAGUUUGUCACGGAGAUAAUGGAUGCAGUGGAUUCGAAGCUGCUUUUUUCUUUUUUCCUUCAGUCAAGUGACAUUGUCGAUACAGCUGAUUCCGAGUAGCGCGCCUCUGUCAGGUCCCCCGUUCUUGGAGAAAAUGCAGGAUGAAAUAUUUGUACAGGAAAGGGUCUCAUGUUGCCCAAACUGGCCUUAAGCAGUCAUCCUGCCUCAGCCUCCUGAGAAGCUGGAACUACUGUGCCUGGCUUACAGUGAUUAUUUUUAAUUGUUUUAUUUUCUAACUUUAUAUAAUAAAGUCAGGAAUGGUUUAUGCAACAGAUUUGCAAGAUAAUGGAAGAUUCUGAAUUUAUAUAGUUCCUCUUGCCAGUUUUAUACUUCUGAUAUUUUUCUUUCAGGCAAUCUCCCUUCAGCCUUUUCACUCAGGAAUGGCACUCUACCACUAAGCCACAGCUCUACUUCUGGCUUUUUUAGUAG